AAUAGAAUUUGCGUGUCUUAGUAUAUUUUGCUUCUGUAAUGAUCUAUAAAGUUGGGACUCAUCCUCUCAAUUCUACUUAAUGUGCUAUUCAUGACUUUUCAGAUUCUUAGGUCGGUGCCAGUUCGUUCAAUGCUCAUACCUCACUACUGGCAAGGGAUAAGAGUUGGGUGAAGAGCUUGGAAAGACUCAGCCACUCAGCUGAGUGCAGAGUUGGGUGAAAGGCUCAAGUAUCCUUCCAGUAUGAGUCAUGUGGUUUUAAAGUCUUAGAAAAUGCAGCAGCAA